rnacentral:rRNA from 1 species
UACGAAGGGGGCUAGCGUUGUUCGGAAUUACUGGGCGUAAAGCGCGUGUAGGCGGGUCUUUAAGUCAGGGGUGAAAUGCCAGGGCUCAACCUUGGAAUGCCUUUGAUACUGGGGACCUUGAGUCCGGGAGAGGUGAGUGGAAUUGCGAGUGUAGAGGUGAAAUUCGUAGAUAUUCGCAAGAACACCAGUGGCGAAGGCGGCUCACUGGCCCGAACUGACGCUGAGACGCGAAAGCGUGGGGAGUAAACAGG